AACGUACGCUGGCGGCACGCCUAACACAUGCAAGUCGAACGAAGUAGCAAUACUUAGUGGCAGACGGGUGAGUAACAUGUAGGUAUCUGCCCUUUGGCCUGGAAUAACACGAGGAAACUUGUGCUAAUACCGGAUAAGUCUUUACGGAGAAAGCUUUAUGCACCAUUGGAUGAGCCUGCACUUGAUUAGUUUGUUGGUGGGGUAAUGGCCUACCAAGACUGUGAUCAAUAGCUGAUUUGAGAGGAUGAUCAGCCACAUUGGGACUGAGACACGGCCCAAACUCCUACGGGAGGCAGCAGUGGGGAAUCUUGCACAAUGGAGGAAACUGUGAUGCAGCGACGCCGCGUGAGUGAAGAAGGCCCUUGGGUUGUAAAGCUCUUUCGUCGGGGAAGAAAAUGACUGUACCCGAAUAAGAAGGUCCGGCUAACUUCGUGCCAGCAGCCGCGGUAAUACGAAGGGACCUAGCGUAGUUCGGAAUUACUGGGCUUAAAGAGUUCGUAGGUGGUUGAAAAAGUCAGUGGUGAAAUCCCAGAGCUUAACUCUGGAACUGCCAUUAAAACUUUUCAGCUAGAGUAUGAUAGAGGAAAGCAGAAUUUCUAGUGUAGAGGUGAAAUUCGUAGAUAUUAGAAAGAAUACCAAUUGCGAAGGCAGCUUUCUGGAUCAUAACUGA
rnacentral:rRNA from 1 species